GCAUACUGCCGUGAAUACGUUCCCGGGCCUUGUACACACCGCCCGUCACACCAUGAGAGUUGGGAAUACCCGAAGCCUGUGAGCUAACUUUUAGAGGCAGCAGUCGAAGGUAGAAUCAAUGAUUGGGGUGAAGUCGUAACAAGGUACC
rnacentral:rRNA from 1 species